UAACUCCACCUGUUCUUCACUCCGCGGGAGCCUCUCGGUAUUACGUGUCCUGAUUGAAUGUUGGAUAACUCUGUCUGGUUUUUAGACAAAAACAGUGAAAAAAGUGAGACAGGGAGUGGCAGGAUGAUACUGCAUUAGCUCCUGGCUUCUGCCCAAGAAACUCCACACCGAAAUCAAUUUGGGUACUUGAGAAAAACAGAAUGUGCCCGGCAACCCAGUUUGCCUUCACUAUUUCUACCAAAAGUGCUAAUGCUGACCAUCAUCUUCUAUCAUUAGGCACCACAUGUUCAUUGAUUUGUAAGCUCCCGCAGAAGCGAUGAAAGAUUAAACACUGAUGAGCUAAAUGUAACAGCACUCACUACAGGAGGCCAGAGCUGCAGAUCCUUAAGGAUGUUGUCCAGCCAGCCAGAGGACAUCAGGAAAAACACCAGCGUCAUGGAAAAUGCAGAAUAAAUACGAAGAGGAUGACUAAUGAUUAAUACUGUGCGGUUGAUUUGUUAGUUCAUAAAUCAAUUUAGAGCUAAUU